rnacentral:rRNA from 1 species
AACGCUGGCGGCAGGCCUAACACAUGCAAGUCGAGCGAGUAAAGCACUUCGGUGCGAGUACAGCGGCGGACGGGUGAGUAACGCGUAGGAAUCUACCCGGUAGUGGGGGACAACUUGUGGAAACGCAAGCUAAUACCGCAUACGCCCUAUGGGGGAAAGCGGGGGAUCUUCGGACCUCGCGCUAUCGGAUGAGCCUGCGUAGGAUUAGCUAGUUGGUGAGGUAAAGGCUCACCAAGGCGACGAUCCUUAGCUGGUCUGAGAGGAUGAUCAGCCACACUGGAACUGAGACACGGUCCAGACUCCUACGGGAGGCAGCAGUGGGGAAU